AUGCGGGCCCUGUGCGAUGGGGCCCCAUGAACCAUGUCAGGCGGGGAACCGAGCAGCAUUAAGUGGUCUGCCCUGUGCGCCGCAGGCAGCCUGCAUCCG
rnacentral:SRP_RNA from 3 species